CAUAGCCGGGGAAAACAGAGGGUGCGAGCGUUAAUCGGAUUUACUGGGCGUAAAGCGUGCGUAGGCGGCUUCUUAAGUCGGAUGUGAAAUCCCUGAGCUUAACUUAGGAAUUGCAUUCGAUACUGGGAAGCUAGAGUAUGGGAGAGGAUGGUAGAAUUCCAGGUGUAGCGGUGAAAUGCGUAGAGAUCUGGAGGAAUACCGAUGGCGAAGGCAGCCAUCUGGCCUAAUACUGACACUGAGGUACGAAAGCAUGGGGAGCAAACAGGAUUAGAUACCCCAGUAGUCCAUGUCUCUUAUACAC
rnacentral:rRNA from 1 species